GAGGAAGAUGGACGGAGAAAUGGAGGAUAGGAUUUGUGGAAAGGAAGGAGGAAACAGGGAAGUGUAAGUGAUGGGGUUAUUGUGGAAAUUCAUCCUUCACUCUGAAUAACAUCAAGUAUGUGACAAAAAGAAAUGUAAAGCUAAACUAACUUCAUCAAAUAAUACUGAUUAUUUAUUUGUUAAUGGGUUGAAUCCAUGACUAAGGAAAGUAUUAAAAGUAUCUCAGUUUUUAUAAUACAAUACAAAAUCUAGAAAACCUCAUGAAACAGAAAAACACAAAUUGUUCUUUUUUCUUUCAACCUUUUGCAACUUUCUCUGUUUUUCUGUCUCCUUUUUCUCUUUCUGUCUCUAUACAUCACUCUAUCUCACCCACACACACACUUAUUGUGUCCUUCAUAUUCUCCUCUUCUGACCCCAAAGUGCUUCGUGAUUGCUGAGACUUAAAGCAACAAAUUUUAGACCCCGAGUGCAAAACUUUGGGUAUGUAAAUUUGUGUUAGUGUGUAUGUGUGUGUUUUGGUGUCUGUCUAUCCAUGUGUUCAUCUGUUUUCACAGUGAAGUGUUUGUGUGUGGAUGCAAGUUCUCUCUCCCUCUCUCACUCACUCACACACACAGAGCAAAUAUACACAUCAGCGAAUGAGUUAUUGCAGAGGCUUCUGAAGGAUCUGCGGCUGCAUGUGCUCAACGUGCUGCGGAAGCUCCAAUAAAGA